CGCCCACCAGGUGCUUGACAUGGCAUGACGUAUGUACUCGGCAAUAUCUAUUGAAUGCUUGAGACUCCUGAGGGUUUCUUUAGGGGAAAGUGGGAGUGAACUUAGGCCAAAUCAUCAUAGUCAACAGAAAACGAGGGGGGGGGGGGAAGGGAUGGGAAGGAAUUAAACCAAAUGCUUAGGAAACCUUCUCUCUCUGGACAAAGGGAUCUCCUCCAGGAGCAGGGUCAGAAUUUCUCUGAGGCCUGGUGCCCCUACCCUGAGAUGGUAGGCCUGGACCAGGUAAGGGUCCUGCUUUGUUUACACAUAAAAACAUCAAAGGUCAGCAAUGUUGCCAUGUGAGCAGAAGUGGCCUGAUUUAGCAUCAUGAAACAUGUACACUUUGGGGGGUAACUUUCCAUAGGGUCCUCACAUCCUAAGAGGGCACCCAGGAGUCCAGAGGUGGGGCUUGGAGGCUAGGGGUGUCGAUGACAGAAUUUGCCUAGGGAGGCACGGUGAGAAAACCCAGCUGUUUUCCUCACAAUCCCAUCUACCGAGCAGCCUUGAGCCACCGGGUUUUCCUGGAAAACUAGGCAUAGCCAUCUUAGAGCAUGGCGUGCUUUCUAGUUGUCGGAACCAGCAAGUGGGAGAGGUUUUGAUCUCGAAGUUUCAGCCCAAAGAGGAAUUUGCCUCUCCUUCCAAUCCCCUCCGCCCCCAUCCGAUUUUUGUGAAGCAAACAGUUCUCUCAGAGGAGAAGUCCCACUGUUCUCUUCCCUCUUCUUCCCCCAACUUAAUUCUUGGCCCUUCUGGGAGGCAGGGCAGGCUCGGUGGCGCCCAGGCCUCCCGCUUCUGGGUGCUGAAGACAACCACCACCGAUAACAUCAGUUGGAGCCCAGCUCUGCUUAAGCAGCCAACGCGCGCUCAAACUUCGAUCUUACCGGAAAAUGGCACGAAUUCCUACACGGCUUUGGAGGCAGCGGAGCCACUAGGAGUGGGAACCUGCCAGUCCCCAUCCCACCUUUGCACGGAGGACAUGAGCAGACAGGCCCAGGAGGCGGUGGAAGCCAGAAGUCAGCUUCAGAACGGACACCAGUUGGUACCCCCUUCUCCCACGGGCAGCCUCCCACCCUGGGCCUCUGCCUCGACUCCCUCCGCCCCGGCUCGCAGUGCACCGUGUAAGGUGGCGUCAGGGAUUGAAACCUGGGCUUCUCACCGCCAUCUGCCAACCCCAGCUCGGGCCCAGGGCCCCAUUCCGUGCCCUGUCCGAGGCGUGAAUGGAAAGCAGCAGUGGACAGAGGUUCAGCCCACCGCACCUGUUCCAUCUCCGGUCCUGACUGGGAAAGGCGGCACCGGGCACCCGAGUGGCACAAGUGCCAGGUCCACACUGUCUUGACCCUUUCUCCAGAGGAGGAGGACAGCAAUGGGGGAAAGGCCCUGGCAGGGUGACCUCCCCGCUCCUGCCCCAGAGGAAGCAGUGACAAUCUGGGCCAAGCAGAAAGGCUUUUCUGACUUCCCGGACACGAGUGCCAUGGAAUAACAGUCACCGAUUUCAGGAUACCUUCCUCAAUCCCUACUCUUAAGAGGCAUUAUCUCCCUUCACAAUCACCCCGCAAGGAACAGACAUGCCUUGGAAUAUGUCUCUGGUGUUAUGGAUGAAGAAACUGAAAGACGCCUGGCUGGCUCAGUUACUAACGCACGUGACU